rnacentral:rRNA from 1 species
GUAUAUUAAAGUUGUUGCAGUUAAAAAGCUCGUAGUUGGAGUUCAGAGUGAGCUCAGCCGGUCGGCCUAAUGGGUCAGAACUGGUUAACUCUCUCUUGUUUGUGGAUCCCUUCGGAGUUAACUCUUCGGAUGUGGAGUCCACAUCGUUUACCUUGAAAAAAUUAGAGUGUUCAAAGCAGGCGUUUGCUUGAAUAUAUUAGCAUGGAAUAAUGGAAUAGGACGCUGGUUCUAUUUUGUUGGUUUUGAGAACCAGAGUAAUGAUUAAUAGGGACAGUUGGGGGCAUUCAUAUUUCAUUGUCAGAGGUGAAAUUCUUGGAUUUAUGAAAGAUGAACUUCUGCGAAAGCAUUUGCCAAGGAUGUUUUCAUUAAUCAAGAACGAAAGUUAGGGGAUCGAAGACGAUCAGAUACCGUCGUAGUCUUAACCAUAAACUAUGCCGACUAGGGAUUGGGUGUGGUUUGUUCAUUGACCCACUCAGCACCUUACGAGAAAUCAAAGUCUUUGGGUUCCGGGGGGAGUAUGGUCGCAAGGCUGAAACUUAAAGGAAU